rnacentral:rRNA from 1 species
AUGGAGUUCACCGCAGCGGACAUCUUUCUACUCUCACCUUUUGGCGACAUCUUGAGUUCGCUAAAACAUCUCUCGUUAUCAAGAGAGCCCUGGCCGGACUGCGGUCAGGACGGUUGGGAUGCAGACGACGAAGAAAUUCAAAGCCCACCCACCACCCACUUGGUAGCCACUAUCGACGAUCUAACCGACAUGCUAGAUUACGACUCCGAAGACAUCGACGGUAUGGACGACGAUGCCGGAGACGACCAACAACCAGCGCCGACCGGGCACUGGAAAGCCACCUCAUCAUAUGACAUAUACAUGGUGGAUAUCCCAAAGGAUGGGAAUGGCGAAGGAACAGAGGAGGAUGACCCCUCCAAGAAACAGCCCAAGCACCGGCGUCAGUGGCGCCGCUCUAAAUCCCGCCACAGCAAGAAUGAAGAUUCCGGCACCGGAGAUAAUAAUACACCGGAUAGCGCCGAAGAUAACCCACUCCAGCAAGACCCAGCACAGGAGGAUGGAGACGCCAGCCCUCAUGAGAGAGCGGCAGAAGAAGAGGUAGAGGAUUAUAUGCCUCCCUCUGGAGACGAAGCAAGCCUCGACGACGAUGAAUUCGUCGUGCCUGAGGAUCCCGUCGAACAAGAGCGUUUUAAACGCAGGCUUAUGGCCACGGCAAACAUCCUCAAGAAAAAGCAACAACAGCUUAGAGCUGAUCAAGAUCUGCUAGCCGACAGAUGGACUGAAGUCCUCGCGGCUGAAGAGUAUGAGCUCGAACGCCCCUCCAAAAGCUACCCUAACGCAAGCUGCUCCCCCGAUUAG